rnacentral:rRNA from 1 species
AGCAGCCGCGGUAAUUCCAGCUCCGAUAGCGUAUAUUAAAGUUGUUGCAGUUAAAAAGCUCGUAGUUGAACCUUAGGCCCGUGCGGGCGGUCCGUCCUCUGGGCGAGCACUGCCUCGUCGCGGGUCUCACCUUCUGGCGAGCGCGGAUGCCAUUCAUUUGGUGUCCUUGGGAACCAGGACCUUUACCUUGAAAAAAUUAGAGUGCUCAAAGCGGGCUCUUACGCUUGAAUACAUUAGCAUGGAAUAAUGAAAUAGGACGACGGUUCUAUUUUGUUGGUUUCCGGGAUUGUCGUAAUGAUUAAUAGGGAUAGUUGGGGGCAUUCGUAUUCAAUUGUCAGAGGUGAAAUUCUUGGAUUUAUUGAAGACGGACUACUGCGAAAGCAUUUGCCAAGGAUGUUUUCAUUAAUCAAGAACGAAAGUUGGGGGAUCGAAGACGAUCAGAUACCGUCGUAGUCUCAACCAUAAACUAUGCCGACUGGGAAUCGGGCGAUGUUAUUUUUCGUGACUCGCUCGGCGCCCC